ACCUCAAGAUAAAUCAAAAUGGAAACAAAAUAUUCCAAAAUCUAUGGGAUGCUGCAAAAGCAGGUAUAAGAGGGAAGUUCACAUAUACACACAUACUUUACUAUAUACUUGAAACUAACACAUUGUUGUGCAUUAGCCAUACUUCAAUAAAAAAUUAAAUUACAUUUAAGGAACAAUCUAAAAUAGCUCCAUGGGGCUAUUUAUCUUGAUUUUAUGCCAUCUAAAUACUGUUAGAUAUGCCAUUAAUGAUUAUGUAAAUUAUCAAUGCAAUAAAUAAGGACAGAAAGUGCUGCGAAUCACAUUAUCAAGUAUUCUUUGUUCACUGACAUUGUAUUUUAUAUCACUAUAGUAAUAUUAUAUCAUAGAAAAGAACCCUCUGAGAAAAUAUGUUUAAUAUUGAUAUCACCCCACUGAAUUACCAUUCAGCCUAUCUUCCUUUAAGUAUUAUCCUCAAAAGUCUUGGCUAUCUUCUAGGCAAAGAGUUAGUGAACUCUCAGUCUCUGAGAAUUCUAGUUUGGAUUCCAGUUGCCAAAGAUACUGUAUUGAACAUGACAAUGUUUCUGUCCUUUUGUUGCUUAAAUUCUAGUGAGAGAAAAACUAAACUAAAUAAACAAUAAAUAGUUAGAUAAGUAAAAAGCAAGUUCAAUACUAAAGGUAAUUAAGUGAUAUUAAGAAAAUACGUUAAUGGAAAAGAGGGUCACUGGGUGGCUAUUUUAGGUCACGUGGUUGGGGAAGACCUCUUUAGGUAACUUUUAAGCUGCACUUGAAUGAUCAGGAGGGGCCAGCCUUGCAGAAAAUUGGGAAGAAGUAAGGCAAAAUGCCAAGGUGAAUAGGAAGAGUAAAUAUAAGUACAUCUGUCCCGGCUGUUUUACAAUACUACCUUCUCUAGGUCAUUGAGUCAUUCACACCUCUCUCAGAGAGAUACACCAGUACUAGUAGCCAACCAUGCACCCACACAACCUUACAGUUAUAGCUCUGAAUUAAUAUAAUCCAUUUUGGAGGUUAGGAGUGCAGGUGGGGAGGGUGGCUCUAUCACUCCCUGAAGACUAAACGUGAUAAGAAAUCACAAGCCACCAUGGCUACUUCUACUGAAUGGUCAUAACAUUCCCAAAUUUUGGAUAACUUUUUAAAAAGGAUAUUGUUGAUCAUAGGGGGAAAAAAAAAGAGUGAAGAAUUAAUGCAAAUUCACAACUACUGGCAACACAAUUCAAAAAGUAUAACUUAUACUCAAGAACAACAUAAGCAAAUGUUUCCCACUUCCACAGAUAAGUGGAAAAUCUGAGAAUAUGUUCACCGGAACUAAAAUAACUCAACUUAGUUGUGAAAGUGAAAGUGUUAAUAGCUCAGU
rnacentral:lncRNA from 1 species